GAGGGUAUAGCCAAGUGGUUAGAGUAUGUGCUUAGCAUGCACAAGGUCCUAGGUUCAAUCACCAGUACUUCCA
rnacentral:tRNA from 1 species